rnacentral:rRNA from 1 species
GGGAACUGCGUUCUGAACUGGGUGACUAGAGUGUGUCAGAGGGAGGUAGAAUUNCACGUGUAGCAGUGAAAUGCGUAGAGAUGUGGAGGAAUACCGAUGGCGAAGGCAGCCUCCUGGGAUAACACUGACGUUCAUGCCCGAAAGCGUGGGUAGCAAACAGGAUUAGAUACCCUGGUAGUCCACGCCCUAAACGAUGUCGAUUAGCUGUUGGGCAGCAUGACUGCUUAGUAGCGAAGCUAACGCGUGAAAUCGACCGCCUGGGGAGUACGGUCGCAAGAUUAAAACUCAAAGGAAUUGACGGGGACCCGCACAAGCGGUGGAUGAUGUGGAUUAAUUCGAUGCAACGCGAAGAACCUUACCUGGUCUUGACAUGUACGGAACCCUCCAGAGACGGAGGAGUGCCUUCGGGAGCCGUAACACAGGUGCUGCAUGGCUGUCGUCGGCUCGUGUCGUGAGAUGUUGGGUUAAGUCCCGCAACGAGCGCAACCCUUGUCAUUAGUUGCCAUCAUUAAGUUGGGCACUCUAAUGAGACUGCCGGUGACAAGCCGGAGGAAGGUGGGGAUGACGUCAAGUCCUCAUGGCCCUUAUGACCAGGGCUUCACACGUCAUACAAUGGUCGGUACAGAGGGUAGCCAAGCCGCGAGGCGGAGCCAAUCUCACAAAACUGAUCGUAGUCCGGAUUGCACUCUGCAACUCGAGUGCAUGAAGUCGGAAUCGCUAGUAAUCGCAGGUCAGCAUACUGCGGUGAAUACGUUCCCGGGUCUUGUACACACCGC